UGGGGAAUUUUGCGCAAUGGGCGAAAGCCUGACGCAGCAACGCCGCGUGGAGGAUGAAGGUCUUUGGAUUGUAAACUCCUGUCAGCAGGGAAGAAGGCCUCGGCGAAGAGCCGAGGAUUGACGGUACCUGCAGAGGAAGCCCCGGCUAACUCUGUGCCAGCAGCCGCGGUAAUACAGAGGGGGCAAGCGUUAUUCGGAAUUAUUGGGCGUAAAGGGCGCGUAGGCGGCCGUGCAAGUGGAAGGUGAAAUCCCUCGGCUCAACCGAGGAACUGCCUUUCAAACUGCUUGGCUUGAGUCCGGGAGAGGUGAGUGGAAUUCCCAGUGUAGCGGUGAAAUGCGUAGAUAUUGGGAGGAACACCAGUGGCGAAGGCGGCUCACUGGACCGGAACUGACGCUGAGGCGCGAAAGCGUGGGGAGCAAACGG
rnacentral:rRNA from 1 species